ACAACCCAAGAGGCCUAGCUGGAAUAAUGUAAGAUUGCACAUUAGGAGGGAGGGCGUAGAGGUGGAUACCUGAGUCCAGCACACCAGGAGGUUGACAAGAGCAUGGAGCAGCCAAGAACUGCCAAAGAAAAGCCAGUGUCUGGGAACUGCUAAAGCAGCCACUGAUGCUUGAACAGCACCUUCUACUUUACAAAGAAUUCUCACAGGUCAGAGUUUCUGGGAUAUAGUAGGUAAUACUUUCAAGACGUCGUCCUCUUCUGUGAAAAGUGGUCCUUCCAAUGGGAAGAAGGAAAGCAGGCUACACUGUCUAUAGUUCGUGGGCACUGGUCCUUUGUUAUCUCCAUGAUACAUAAAAAUAUUAUUAGUGUGAA